rnacentral:sRNA from 1 species
UAUUUUUUAAACCAUGCUUUAUUGUGUAGGGGCCAAGGGGAAAGUUCCUCUUUGCCCUCUGAAGGUUCAUUGAAAGCCAACUCAUAAAAGGUAGAUUUUUGGAGAAAAGGCAAAUAAAUUGAUUAUUGAUUGAUUGAUUAUUUAUUUUUGAGAUGGAGUCUCGCUCUGUCGCCUAGGCUGGAGUGCAGUGGCGCGAUCUCGGCUCACUGCAACCUCCGCCUCCCGGGUUCAAGCGAUUCUCCCGCCUCAGCCUCCGGAGUAGCUGGGAUUACAGGCGCCUGCCACCACGCCCGGCCUUUACCUCCAGUUUUCACACAGAAAGGCGGAGGGAACAUCAGAGUCAUGUUUUUAGGUUUUGUGGCUGGCUUUGGGGGUCUGGUCUCUGGGACCCGCCUUGGGGAAAAGGGAUUCACUCUGUGAGGAGCCUCGCGGGAGAACAGAACUGAGACUGGAGGGCUGGGAAGGUCAGAGGGAAACUGCCUCCCAGGCCUUCAUUUUGGGGCGUUGUGUUCUGAGCCCCAAUAAUUGUAACAUCUUCAUAAGCGACUUUCUGGUGGUUAUGGUGAAUCGGGACACACGAUGUAUGGUGACCGACGGGGGAGCCGGAAGCCCAGCGGGGUUAGGGUUCAGGUGAGGAUUUAGGGUCGGGGCGAGCGGGGCACGGCCCGGACGCGCAGCGCCACCGCUCCCAAACCCUCCGCUCAGCUGCCGCGGGUUCUCGCCCCCCGACCAUAGACGGCGCGGGCCUCCAGUCAUCCCAGAGCGGCCCCGGAAGAAUCCGGGCGGAACCGCGGCUGGUUUCCGGUUCCCGGCGUUCUCCGAGGCGCACUGAGGCCCCCUCAGGGGGCGGGGAAUCCUGCGUGUGCGCAGCUCGGCCCGGCCCUCACUCUUCAUCCAGGGCCCGCCUUCUCCCCGGCUCAGGAUCCGGUUGUGUGGGCGGGUCCGCUGCGGGCUCGGUGCGACUGCGCAGCUCGUCGGCGUUUCCUCGGUGGCUGUCCCGGGCAGAGCGAACAGGUGGGGCAGUGUCGGACCAGGAAGGAGCGCUAAGCGGGCAGGCAGGCGGGGAGGGCGCGGGGAGGCGGCGGCCAGUCCAGGAGGGGCCUGUUCUGGGUGCCGCGGCGGGAGCCACCGACGGGCUGCAGAGGCCGGGAGGAGGCGACCGCGGCGCGGCCCUAGGAGGCUGGACUGAGGACCACAGCUGGCUUCCGGCCUCUCCCCGGAGCCCGGGGCCUUCGGCAGCAUCCCCGCGGCCUCCCCCUCACGUCCUCAGCCCUGGUGAGGCUUCACCCUCACGUGGCUCUUUGCCCCAGGUUGGCCCAGGCAGGUACAACGGCCCUGCACCCCGUUUCCAGGGCCUUCAGCAGGCUGGACCACGGGAACUGCCAGCUUUCACCCCUUAGCCGGGCGUCCCUGGAUCCCCCGCGGGCUCUGGCUCCGGCCGUUCUGGGAUUUCAGGAGUCACUGAGCAGUAGGGCACGUCGGCCCAUGCUGCAUGGUGACCUGCCUCCUGCAACCCAGGAAGCUACACCAGCAAUCAGCUUCUGCCUCCUGGCCGUCCUUCCACACCCCAGGUUGAAUGGGGCUGAGCCUGAGUUCUCCCCACUGAAGGUAAGUUGGAGGAGACUUCAGGCCAGGGCAGUCUCCUGUUUUCUCUUGGAAACCACAGCAGCCCAUGCGCACAGAAUGGCAGCCACACUCCAGUUUCCAGGGUACCAGGUGAGUUAACCCUCAUUCCUGCCCACCUCUUCAUCUUCAUCCCCAUCUCAGUCAGAAGCUGCUCUCCUCUGGAGCAGUGAGCCUGGCAACUGGUAAGGCCAGCCAGGGGCUCAUAGCAACCAUGAGGAAAGGGUUCUGAGAGGUAGACUCGCCCUCCCGCAGGGAGAGGGGCUCUGAGCUCAGCUGGGUCCCCGUGUGGCUGAAGUUGGCUGGUCCUCAGCGCUCUCAGCUGCCCCGUCAGGGACCUGCUGAUACACAGUUCAUACUGACCGCAGCAGGGCCUUGGGUAGUGGGGCCCCACCAGGUCAGGGCCCUUUUAGUGCAGGCUGCUGCCCAGUGGGCAUGGCCCGGGCAGCGGCGAUGUUUUGUUGCAGGAGAUGCCGCUGACCUUCCAGGAUGUGGCCGUGUACUUCUCUCAGGCGGAGGGACAGCAGCUGGGCCCCCAGCAGCGGGCGCUCUACAGAGAUGUGAUGCUGGAGAACUAUGGGAACGUGGCCUCUCUGGGAUUCCCUAUCCCUAAGCCGGAGUUGAUCUCCCAGCUGGAGCAGGGGAAGGAACUUUGGGUCCUGAAUCUUCUGGGAGCUGAGGAACCAGAUAUCUUGAAAAGCUGCCAGAAAGGU